rnacentral:misc_RNA from 1 species
UCCGGUUUGGCACCGGCAGUCCCCCGAGAGUCCUCAGCGUUUUGCAACCUGUUAGCAACACGGGGCGGGGGUUGCGCUCGUUGCGGGACUUAACCCAACAUCUCACGACACGAGCUGACGACAACCAUGCAGCACCUCUGCUGGCUUCCUUGCGGAUCAGUCUAUGUUUCCACCGCUGGUCAGUGGCAGUUCAAGCCCAGGUAAGGUUCUUCGCGUUGCGUCGAAUUGAACCACAUGUUCCACCGCUUGUGCGGGCCCCCGUCAAUUCCUUUGAGUUUCAGUCUUGCGACCGUACUCCCCAGGCGCAGGACUUAACGCGUUAGCUACGGGACGCACCCCCAACGGGAUGCACCCCAAGUCCUGAUCGUUUAGGGCUAGGACUAC